ensembl:lncRNA
UCCCUGGUCUGGGAACCAAGGUCCCAUGAACCACACCUAGAGAAUCUGAGUGCAACAAGACCAAGUGCAGUCUAAUUAAUUAAUUAAUCAAAAGAAGAAGAAACCAACCCCACACCAACACCCUGAUCUGACUCCUAGCCCAUCCCUUCUCCAGCGGAUUUCCUGGACCCAGGAAUUGAACCAGAGUCUCCUGCAUUGAAGGCACAUUCUUUACCAACUGAGCUAUCAGGGAAUCCUGCCCUAGCCUCUAGAACUGUGAGUAAACCAGUUCUGUUGUGUAAGUCACCAAGUCUGCAAUAUUUUGUUAUGACAGCCCUAGCAAGCUAAUACAGGGAAUCAGGAGAAAAUUCCCAGAGAGCAGCACUGGAACCAGGGCUCAGUGGAUGAGAAGGCAUCUACCAGAAAUUCGUGCCUGCUCAGUCACUUCAGUCGUGUUCAGCUCUUUGCGACUCCAUCGACUGUAGCCCGCCAGGCUCCUCUGUCCUUGUGAUUCUUCAGGUACACUGCACGUUAUGGCCUUGUCACACUGAGUAUCUCACGAUCCUGGACUGAGUCAGCCCUUUGAUACCUACAUGCCUUCAAACAUGCUGAGUCCUCUGCCUUAAAUGCUUACCUCAAGGGACUUCCUUCGGAGAAUGUGAUGGCACCCCACUCCAGUACUCUUGCCUGGAGAAUCCCAUGGACGGAGGAGCCUGGUAGGCUGCAGUCCAUGGGGUCGCUAAGAGUCAGACAUGACUGAUCGACUUCACUUUCACUUUUCACUUUCAUGCAUUGGAGAAGGAAAUGGCAUCCCACUCCAAUGUUCUUGCUUGAAGAAUCCCAGAGCCUGGUGGGCUGCCAUCUAUGGGGUCACACAGAGUGGGACACAACUGAAGUGACUUAGCAGCAGCUUAGCAGCAGGCUCAGUAUGGAGUAAAACUGCCAGUUCUCUAAGACAGAUGCAACUGCCUAAACUUUCCCCCUGUUCUGAUAGACCUUUCCUGGAGUUUGCACUCCAUUUCUUCAUGACUAUCUCCAUGCCCACUGGAAGAUCAUAACUGUUGAUGACAAGAAUCAAAGAAAGAAAAUUCCCUGUUUGGAAUUACAGAGCACCAGUCCAGUGGCAACUUAAAACUUGGUCUUGGAAAAGAUGGAAUAGUGACUUUAAAGUGUACAAUCUGUCUCUUACC